AGGUCUAAAAGGUUGAGAUUCAUCUUGAAGAAAAUGGAUCUAUAGCAAGAAGAAAGGUUUGAGAUUGAUCCCAAUGGAUACCUAACUAUAGAGGUUGGAUACAUGUGUGGCUCAAGAACCUUUAGAUCUAGGAUCAUCGGUUGUGGUGUAUUUCAAUCCGUGUAAGGUAUUGAGAUCCGAUCUUAAUUUUUUUGAUUUAUUUUUAGAAU
rnacentral:lncRNA from 1 species